rnacentral:ncRNA from 1 species
ACAAUGGAGAGUUUGAUCCUGGCUCAGGAUGAACGCUAGCUACAGGCUUAACACAUGCAAGUCGAGGGGCAGCAUAAUUAUUGCUUGCAAUAAUUGAUGGCGACCGGCGCACGGGUGAGUAUCGCGUAUCCAACUUUCCCAUAACUAGGGGAUAAUCCGUC